CACAAGUACACGCCUCGCACACACCUCCAGCUCGAGCGCCUACCUGAACUGUCUGUGUUCAGACAAAGAACCAUAAGGGUCCAAAUGAGCUCCAGAUGUUUUUCUUCUUUCUUUUUUUGUUCUUCCUUCUCCACCACCACCACCACCACCUCCUCACUUCCUCCCUCCGCAGCGUCGUCUCACACGUUAAAAUGGGUUUCUCAAGAAGCUCCCAGGUGUGUUUCAAAAAAGAAAGAAAAAGAAAAAAAAAAUCAAUGAAAACACCAGCAAAACAGGAAAGAACUUCUGCUAUAGGUUCCUCCAGGUUUCUUUGUCUACAUACAUCCUGGUGAAUCGAUGGUUAUGCCAAAUUCACCUUCACACCCAGUGUUCCAUAUCCAACAUAACCCUGAACAGGAUAAAGAACGUAUGGGUGAAUAGAUGAAUAAAUUAAUGAGAAUCAUCCAUCAUCCAUGGAUUAAUCUGUGUUUUGGGUCCAUAAAUUAGAUCAAAGUAGUUCAUCAUUAUGAAUUUUUUCUUUGUGAAUUUCCAGUUCAGUUUUUGUGGUCUUUUUUACACCAGUCUGAAAUUCCUAAAAAAAACAAAUCAUCAAUACUGGGAUUUUUGGGGAUUUUUUUAAAUUACACAAUUGACACAAACAACACAACUGCAAUAUAAACUACAUACCCAUUUAUCAUCAAAAGUUUCAGCUACAACAAUUUUUUAUCUUCAUUUUCAUCUUUGACUGCUAUACUCAUUUUCAGUUAUGCUGAUUUAUAAUAUGACUGGUCCGUCUGGGACUGCCCUGAUAUUUAAAGGAAAAAUUGCAGAUAAAAAUUGUCAGUAUUCAUAUGAACAGUUGCAGAUACUGAGGUUAGUUGUAGGGACGGGGAGAAUCAUUUCGUUUGCUGUCACUCGUAGGAAAGUGAAUCAAAUCCACCCACGUUCAUUUGUCAUAAACUCAGGUUUGCGUGUACGACUAGUUCAUAUGAUGACAAAUCGAUAACACUUUCUGUGUUGUCGUAAGGCACGCACAUAUGUGUUCAUAUGUUUUUGUUUCAGUGUUUGUGUUUAUAUAUGUUCCAAAGCAGUCGGUUUGGUUUCUUUGUGUAAUCAUUAUAAUCCUUUGUGUUUUUAUUUUCUUUUGGCUCCGGUUGGCCUCAGGUGUGCUCAGGUCGGCCCGGGCUUGUUUCUUAUUGGGUUUGUGUUACAUCGUGCUCUGUCAUGAACAAGCAGGUUAUGAAUCUCUUCAGCAUGCAUUAAAAUCUAACCACAAAAUGACGAGACGCCGUUAACAAACGUCAGAUGCAUAUACUGGGAUGAGUACCGUGAUAAUGGUUCCACUUUGACUCCUUCUGGUCGUGAUAUGAUUUUUAGCAUGUGCGUUGACAAGUGCACCUAAGUAGUUAACUGGAAAGUUGUUAGGAUUGUGUGUAAUCGUGAGCUGAGAAUUCAUUCUGGUAAAACUUUUCAGCAGAGAUGAUGUCAUGAUCCACAGAUCGUGCCAGGUUUUACUCUUCGGUCUCUGUUAGACCUUGAAGCAAUGCGAUUUUGUUUUAUGUAGAUCCACUGACCAUGUUGCUGCGGUUUGCUUUUCAUUCAAACCCCGCAUUUCUCUCGGUUUGUAGGAGGGGUCAGGAAGCAUGACCUCAGUUCCUGUUAGCGUGUCUCCCACAGGCACGGCAUUGUCUGUGAGAACGUGUUAGGACUUCUGGGACACUCACACAUCUGGCAGCUGUUUUGAGGCCCAGCCGCUUUAAACCUCAGGAAGGAAGGUCCCUAACGUACUGGGUGCUCUGUACAGGAAACGCACUUCCAUUUAGAGCCAUUUCUCUCCAUCGUACAGUACAGAGCACUUACGAAUUGUCACUUUAGCAGUAAGGGACUGCUAUAAAUGUGGUUGGUUUUGGCCGCAUUUUGGUUUUCACCACCAGGUUUCCUCUAACUGCACAUGGCCUUGUUUUAUGUGGCUUGUGCUGAAAGUGUCGUGCCAUCCCCUACACUGUGAAAACUCUUUCGUUUAAGUUGUGGCUGACGUUUCUUUGUCCCUUUUUCAACAUGGAAACAACCUAUAAACCAGCCGUCAGUUGUUGCUAAAAUUAGAAGCAACUCAAUUAAUCAUUAAAAAAAUUUUCAGCAUCAAAAAAAGCAAUCUAUUUUUUUUUUCAGGCAUGACCUACAGCAAUUUAAA